AUGCUGGCCCUCACUGUGCCCCCCAGAAUGUCUACCAAGGAUAGCUGUGAACUGCUUGAUGCCAUUAGCGUUCGCAACUCGGAGCUGGCUGUGUCCAACCACAGAAACAAAGAGUCUCUGGCGAGACUGAGAACCUCCAGCUCCUCCACUUUCACCCGGAAAAGCGCCCGGAAAAGCGCCCCCUCUACCGGCGGGGUGAAAAAGCCUCAUCGGUACAGGCCAGGCACCAUGGCGCUGCAGAUCAGUCACUACCUGAAGUCGACCGAGUUCCUGAUCCGGAAGCUGCCAUUCCAGAGGCUGGUGCACGACCUCGCCCAGGACUUCAAGACCGACCUGAGUGCUGCCAUCGGGGCGCUCCAGGAGGCGAGUGAGGCUUACCUGGUGGGCCUGUUCCAGGACACCAACCUCUGCGCCAUCCACGCCAAGAGAGUCACCAUCAUGCCCAAAGACAUCCAACUGGCUCGCCGGUUACGAGGCGAGAGAGCUUAAGCGGUUUUUAUGGUGCGUUGUAGUAAAUUCUGUACAAUACUUUGGUUUCAUUUGUGAGUUUUUUUUGUAAGAAAUUGUUUAUAAUAUGUUGCAUUUGUACUUACGUCAUUCCAUCUUUCACUCAGGAUGAAUGUGAAAAGUGACUGUCCACAGACCUCAGUGGUGUGAGCACUUGCUCAGGAGCGACAAGUUGCUAAUAUGCAGAAGGGAUGGGAUGGGUGAUACUUUUUGCUUCUCACGAUGCAUGUUUCUGUAUGUUAAUGACUUGUUAGGUAGCUAUUAAGGUACUAGAAUUGAGAAAUGUGUACAGGGUCCUUUUGCAAUAAAACUGGUUAUGACUUG